GACGAACGCUGGCGGCGUGCUUAACACAUGCAAGUCGAACGGAAAGGCCCUGCUUUUGUGGGGUGCUCGAGUGGCGAACGGGUGAGUAACACGUGAGUAACCUGCCCUUGACUUUAGGAUAACUUCAGGAAACUGGGGCUAAUACCGGAUAGGAGCUCCUGCUGCAUGGUGGGGGUUGGAAAGUUUCGGCGGUUGGGGAUGGACUCGCGGCUUAUCAGCUUGUUGGUGGGGUAGUGGCUUACCAAGGCUUUGACGGGUAGCCGGCCUGAGAGGGUGACCGGCCACAUUGGGACUGAGAUACGGCGCAGACUCCUACGGGAGGCAGCAGUGGGGAAUAUUGCACAAUGGGCGGAAGCCUGAUGCAGCAACGCCGCGUGCGGGAUGACGGCCUUCGGGUUGUAAACCGCUUUCGCCUGUGACGAAGCGUGAGUGACGGUAAUGGGUAAAGAAGCACCGGCUAACUACGUG
rnacentral:rRNA from 1 species